UUUGCUUCCUCUGCUGUCGGGGGAGGCUCAGACGGCGGCAGACUCAGGGCCGCCGUCUGAGCUCCUCGAGGAGCAACUUCGAGGACAUGAGCCGGGCGGUGUUGGACAGGAUGGAUCUUGCCCCUGAGGAUAUUCGCCGGGGAGGAUCGGCCGUUUGCUUGGGCCCGGAAACUACACGACGCGGCGGUGUGGUGGCUGCAGCCGGGAUCGUCAGAGGGGGAGACGCUGCUGGUGGAGAAGUCGGUGCUGGAGCAGUUCAUGGAGGGGCAAUGAUUUUCCAGGCGGCUCAUUAUAACCCCAUGGCAGGGCAUAUAGGAUAUGAAAAAACUCUGGAGUGAAUAACGGCCUGAUUUUAUUGGCCGGACAUCUGGAUGUGAGCCGUUGGUGCGCAUCCUGCCAGCUUGUUAAUCAGCCGUUCAUACCAAAAGUGCCUUUGCACCCGCUCCCACUCAUGGAGGUCCCGUUUGAGCGCAUUGGCACAGACCUCAUCGGGGUGUUUCACCAGAGUGCACGCGGCUAUCGCUUUCUGUUAGUCCUGGUGGAUUAUGCAGCGCGAUACCCGGAAGCAGUGGCGCUGCGCAACAUCUCUGCAAAGAGUGUGGCGCAGGCACUGUUUCAGGUCCCGAGUCGGAAUCCCGAAAGAGAUCAGGGCACAUCGUUCAUGUCUCGCACACUGCGGGAACUGUACGAAUUACUGGGCAUUAACCAGCGUCCACCACCCUCAUAUGGACGGGCUGGUGUAGCGGUUGAACAAGACUUUAAAGUCCAUGAUUCGUAAGUUCAUUAACGAGGAUGAACGGAAUUGGGAUCGCUGGCUAGACCCUCUGUUAUUUGCAGUGCUGGAGGUGCCCCAGGCCUCCACGGGAUUUUCUCCCUUUGAACUGCUGUUCGGCAGGAAGCCGCGUGGGGUGCUCGACCUGAUUAAAGAAAGCUGGGAGGACGGUCCGGGCCUCGCCAAGAAUGAGAUUCAGUACGUGUUGGACCUGAGAGCGAAAUGCCACACUUUGGGGAGGUUGUCACGGGAGAAUUUGCUCCAGGCUCAGCAGCGUCAGCAACGCCUGUAUGACAGAGGGGCUAGACUCAGGCAGUUUUCACCAGGAGACAGUGCUUGUAUUACUCCCUUCUUCCAGCUCAAAGUUGCUUGCAAAGUGGCAAGGACACUUUGUGGUCACACGGCGAAUUGGGGACAUUGACUAUGAGGUCAGACAGGGGAAGAGCGCCGCAGAUUUAUCACCUCAAUCUCCUUAAAGCGUGAAGAGAGCCUGAAAAUGCUUCUCUGGUAAGCCUGGUUAAGGAGAGAGAGGAGUUGGGGCCGGAGGGGCCAAAUUCUAUCAUCCCCGCCUCCCUCCCUUGUGAUGACCAUCUCACACAGGCCCAGAAAGCGGAUGUUGACGCCUUACAGCAGCAUUUUGCAGACGUGUUCUCCCCCCUGCCCGGCCGAAGGUCUCUCAUUGAGCAUCAUUUUGAAACACAGCCUGGCGUGACGGUGCGUUCACGGCCCUACAGGCUUCCUGAGCAUAACCGGCAAAUUGUUCAGAGGGAAUUGGCUGAAAUGCUGAAAAUGGGAGUGAUAGAAGAGUCGCACAGCGCCUGCUGUAGCCCCAUAGUUCUUGUGGUGAAGAAGGAUGGGUCUAUACGGUUCUGUGUCGACUAUCGCAAGGUGAAUGAAGGGUCAUGCUUUGAUGCUUAUCCCAUGCCCCGGGUCGACGAGCUCCUGGACCGGUUGGGCACAGCCCGUUUUUUCACGACACUGGAUUUAACCAAGGGUUACUGGCAGAUUCCCUUGUCUGCCAAUCCAAGGAAAAAACACCCUUCUCCAACCACAGCUACAGUAUCUGGGGCACCACUUGGGGGCAGGCAGGUGCGUCCACAGGUGGAGAAGACGGCAGCUAUCGCAUCCUGUCCACGAAAGUAGGUUCGGCCAGACGGCUCCCUGGCCUCAGUCGGGCGGUGGGGGUGUAUGUCCCUGGCUCAGCUGCAGGGGAGGAGUGGUGCAGUGAGCUCAACGGGGCGGUGCUGGAGAGGCAGACAGGAAAACAACGCGAACACCACCACCAAAAACAACGACCACUUCACUGACAACAAGAACUGCAGCAACAGCGGCAGCAGCACCUGAGGAAAUCUUAGCUGCUGAUCACCUGUGGCACAUGACUGUCCGCACACUGAUUGGACUGCUCUACUUAAUCAUCAUGAUCAGCAUCACUGCUGUUACCCGGAGGAAAGCUCGACAGAUACAGAAGCGAGACACAGCAGCAGAUUCUGAUCUCUGAUGCUCCAUCACACAGAAGCAGGACACCUGUGUUAACUAUAUGCAUCGUAGCUGCUCAUGGAGACUAAAGACAGUGUGGCACAAUAGCAAGCUACUGCUGCUGGGCUCCAGUUUGGUAUAAGUGCCUUGCAGAUUCAGUAUGUACCGUUGUGUCCACAAUUUUAAAUCAUUUGGAAAAAAAUUGUUUUUUGUUUUUUUUUUCUUACAGAUUUUAUUUUGCUGUUUAGCUUCAGUGCGCUGUUGGCUCUGUUGUCAUGGCAAUAACACCAAAUUAUACCAUGUAAAACUCUGAAUAAAA
ensembl:lncRNA